rnacentral:rRNA from 1 species
GUAAUGCUUGGGAAUCUGGCUUAUGGAGGGGGAGUAACUACGGGAAACUGUAGCUAAUACCGCGUAGUAUCGGAAGAUGAAAGUGCGGGACCGUAAGGCCGCAUGCCAUGAGAUGAGCCCAAGUGGGAUUAGGUAGUUGGUGGGGUAAAGGCCUACCAAGCCUGCGAUCUCUAGCUGGUCUGAGAGGAUGGCCAGCCACACUGGAACUGAGACACGGUCCAG